UUACCCGGAAUAUCUCACCCACACAUUUCUCUUCCUCACCAUCGCUCUCUCUCUCUGCAUCUAUCUAUCUAUUACCUCUAUGUCUCUAUAUUACUUGAUUUUCCAGAUUUGUGAUGCAAUCAUUGUUCAAGCAUCACAAAUUUGGCAAUCAUACUACCAUAAAUCUAAGCUAACAGUGAAGACGAAGGCUGCUACCAUCAUCGUUAAUGAGUAGCUUCAUACAUUCGAGCAUGAAGAAAGCUAAGUAUCUUCUACAUUGAUUUGUUUAAUUUCAGCCUAGAUUUCAUAUACAUGUUGUGUACUGAUACAAACAAACAAACAAAAAAAAAAGAUCUAUUGAAAAAUAGUCAUUAAGUACUAUUGAAAACUAAUAAUUGCUAUGGCUUAUUAAUGUCCGACUACUGUUUUGUAACAGUAUAUUUCCAGGGACCAAAUGGCUUAUUUGAAGGAGGUUCAAAUGGCUUGGCACUUGAAAUGUCAAGUAAGUGUUCUUAAACUUUAAAUUAAGUUAUGCUCUACAGUGUUAAGUUUAUGCAAUCCAUCCUCAGUUACGAAAGUAAGUUUUCCUAACCUGCUCA